rnacentral:rRNA from 1 species
UUGUAAUUGGAAUGAUAGAAAUUUAAACCCUUUUUAAAGUAUCAAUUGGAGGGCAAGUCUGGUGCCAGCAGCCGCGGUAAUUCCAGCUCCAAUAGCGUAUAUUAAAAUUGUUGCAGUUAAAAAGCUCGUAGUUGAAGUUCUGCUAAAAGUAACCGGUCUGCUUUUAAUAAAGGUGGUAUCUUGGUGUGUAUUUAGCAAUGAUGUCCUUUGAAGUGUUUUUUACUUUAUUGUAAUAAAGCAUAUUCAGGACUUUUACUUUGAGAAAAUUAGAGUGUUUCUAGCAGGCUAACGCUUUGAAUACUGCAGCAUGGAAUAAUAAGAUAGGAUUUUAGUUCUACAUUAUUGGUUUUAAGAGCUAAAUUAAUGAUUGAUAGGGACAGUUGGGGGCAUUUGUAUUUAACUGUCAGAGGUGAAAUUCUUAGAUUUGUUAAAGACAAACUACUGCGAAAGCAUUUGCCAAAGAUGUUUUCAUUAAUCAAGAACGAAAGUUAGGGGAUCGAAGACGAUCAGAUACCGUCGUAGUCUUAACUAUAAACUAUGCCCGA